UCCUCUGUGGGUUUUUUCAAGCUCUCCCUGGUUCUGUAAUGCUGCCCACUGCAGUUCAGCAAGUUCCGACAAGGAGUCGGGGCUUUGUUUUGAGAACAAGGAACAAGUCAGUGGUAAUUCAGCGGCAGAACAAACCAAGCUGGCCUGUGCUCCCCAGCACAGCUGCGUGUCUCAGGGACACACACUGCACCUCACACACAGCGGGCUCUGCCUCCUCCAGCCUCUGCAGGACGGUGCGGGACAGCUUGGACUCAGGGCCCCAGGGGCCUUUUCAAUCUCAGCCAUUCCCUCUUGGCUGCCCGCUGGAAAACUCGCAGCUCUCCUUGCCUGCUUACUCCAUCAGCAGAGCCGUGAAGGCCCUGCUGGCACAGCCAAGCACAGGGAGCCCAGCGUGGCCUGUGAAAGAGGCAGAGCCUGCUGAGCUCCCUCCCAGGCACGAAGCUUUGGCUGAAGCCCUGUGCUGCUUUUCCCAGCGGUCACACAUUGGAGGGAGCAGCACGGGAACGGGCUCAGAGCUGCAGGUGCUGCCUGUCGCUGCUGCCACAGCAUCCCCCUCCUGUCAGCUGCCUGGGGGCUGCUUCCUCCUGCUCCUGUCCCGCCUCUGGGGAAUUCUGUAUCACAGCAGCAUCACCAACGUGGUCAAACCCCUGUGUAAGCCUCUCCCUCCCUCCCCCUCACCUUGCAGAUCUGCCCACAACAACAGUGGCCUUGUGGAGGAAUGUGGGGACCACGGGCGGACACCACCCAACCACAGGUCAGGGUGGGAGCAGUGACAUGGAGCACACAAUGACAGAUCCGGUGCCAACAACACGGGAAUCCAGGAUGGAUACUGCUCCAGUCGGGCCUUUCACAGACACAGGUUCCCCGCUGCUGUACGGGC